UCGAGCGAGCUUGCCUAGAUGAGUUUGGUGCUUGCACCAGAUGAAACUAGAUACAAGCGAGCGGCGGACGGGUGAGUAACACGUGGGUAACCUGCCCAAGAGACUGGGAUAACACCUGGAAACAGAUGCUAAUACCGGAUAACAACACUAGACGCAUGUCUAGAGUUUAAAAGAUGGUUCUGCUAUCACUCUUGGAUGGACCUGCGGUGCAUUAGCUAGUUGGUAAGGUAACGGCUUACCAAGGCAAUGAUGCAUAGCCGAGUUGAGAGACUGAUCGGCCACAUUGGGACUGAGACACGGCCCAAACUCCUACGGGAGGCAGCAGUAGGGAAUCUUCCACAAUGGACGCAAGUCUGAUGGAGCAACGCCGCGUGAGUGAAGAAGGGUUUCGGCUCGUAAAGCCCUGUUGGUAGUGAAGAAAGAUAGAGGUAGUAACUGGCCUUUAUUUGACGGUAAUUACUUAGAAAGUCACGGCUAACUACGUGCCAGCAGCCGCGGUAAUACGUAGGUGGCAAGCGUUGUCCGGAUUUAUUGGGCGUAAAGCGAGUGCAGGCGGUUCAAUAAGUCUGAUGUGAAAGCCUUCGGCUCAACCGGAGAAUUGCAUCAGAAACUGUUGAACUUGAGUGCAGAAGAGGAGAGUGGAACUCCAUGUGUAGCGGUGGAAUGCGUAGAUAUAUGGAAGAACACCAGUGGCGAAGGCGGCUCUCUGGUCUGCAACUGACGCUGAGGCUCGAAAGCAUGGGUAGCGAACAGGAUUAGAUACCCUGGUAGUCCAUGCCGUANACGAUGAGUGCUAAGUGUUGGGAGGUUUCCGCCUCUCAGUGCUGCAGCUAACGCAUUAAGC
rnacentral:rRNA from 1 species